CCUAUAAGACACACUGCUCAAAUACAGAAAGUGAAGAAAUUCUCACUGGAAAGGGCCUAAUACAUGUAGAUGCAGCAAGUGUAGAAAGCUGAGUUUUUCUUGGUAAAGUCACAAGAAAUGCACUUUUUUUUUUCUGGUGCUGUGGAUUAAACCCAGGGCCUCAUACAUGUGAGGCAAGCACUCUACCAACUGAGCUAUAUCCCCAGCCUGUAAUGCACACUUUUAGAAGUGUUGUAGAUAAUCAGCCCAAGACCUAUAAGUAAAUUUUUCCUGUGAGCCUCAGCUAACUCAGUCCCAACAGUUUCAUAUGAGAGCUGAGAAGAUGGAAUUGAAUGAACUUUGUGUGUAGCACAUAGAGGGGCCUGAUUGUGUGUCCAUCCCUUCACUUCCUCCCAUACAUUAAACAUUGAGGACACUCAAGCCCAGAGAAAUUCAUGAUUUCAAGGUCACAUCACAUGGAAUUUCAAC
rnacentral:lncRNA from 1 species